rnacentral:tRNA from 1 species
GGGGAUUUAGCUCACUGGUAGAGCGCUUGCCUAGCAAGAGCAGACCCUGGGUUCGGUCCCCAGCUCCA